AUUGAACGCUGGCGGCAGGCCUAACACAUGCAAGUCGAGCGAGCGGCGGACGGGUGAGUAAUGUAUGGGGACUGCCCGAUAGAGGGGGAUAACUACUGGAAACGGUAGCUAAUACCGCAUACUAUCGGAUAACCCAUAUGGGAUUAGCUAGUAGGGGAGGUAAUGGCUCACCUAGGCGACGAUCCCUAGCUGGACUGAGAGGUUGAUCAGCCACACUGGGACUGCGACACGGCCCAGACUCCUACGGAGGCAGCAGUGGGGAAUAUUGCACAAUGGGCGCAAGCCUGAUGCAGCAAUGCCGCGUGUAUGAAGAAGGCCCUAGGGUUGUAAAGUACUGUCAGUAGGGAGGCGUUACCGACAGAAGAAGCACCGGCUAACUCCGUGCCAGCCGCCGCGGUAAUUC
rnacentral:rRNA from 1 species